rnacentral:rRNA from 1 species
UACGUAGGGGGCUAGCGUUAUCCGGAAUUAUUGGGCGUAAAGCGUCCGCAGGUGGCACUUCAAGUCUGUCGUCAAAGACUGGGGCUUAACCCCGGAAAGGCGGUGGAAACUGAAGCGCUAGAGUGCGGUAGGGGUAGAGGGAAUUCCCGGUGUAGCGGUGAAAUGCGUAGAGAUCGGGAAGAACAUCGGUGGCGAAAGCGCUCUACUGGACCGCAACUGACACUCAGGGACGAAAGCUAGGGGAGCGAAUGGG